rnacentral:rRNA from 1 species
CGCUAGCUACAGGCUUAACACAUGCAAGUCGAGGGGUAGCAUGGUCUUAGCUUGCUAAGGCCGAUGGCGACCGGCGCACGGGUGAGUAACACGUAUCCAACCUGCCGUCUACUCUUGGACAGCCUUCUGAAAGGAAGAUUAAUACAAGAUGGCAUCAUGAGUCCGCAUGUUCACAUGAUUAAAGGUAUUCCGGUAGACGAUGGGGAUGCGUUCCAUUAGAUAGUAGGCGGGGUAACGGCCCACCUAGUCUUCGAUGGAUAGGGGUUCUGAGAGGAAGGUCCCCCACAUUGGAACUGAGACACGGUCCAAACUCCUACGGGAGGCAGCAGUGAGGAAUAUUGGUCAAUGGGCGAGAGCCUGAACCAGCCAAGUAGCGUGAAGGAUGACUGCCCUAUGGGUUGUAAACUUCUUUUAUAAAGGAAUAAAGUCGGGUAUGGAUACCCGUUUGCAUGUACUUUAUGAAUAAGGAUCGGCUAACUCCGUGCCAGCAGCCGCGGUAAUACGGAGGAUCCGAGCGUUAUCCGGAUUUAUUGGGUUUAAAGGGAGCGUAGAUGGAUAUUUAAGUCAGUUGUGAAAGUUUGCGGCCCAACCGUAAAAUUGCAGUUGAUACUGGAUAUCUUGAGUGCAGUUGAGGCAGGCGGAAUUCGUGGUGUAGCGGUGAAAUGCUUAGAUAUCACGAAGAACUCCGAUUGCGAAGGCAGCCUGCUAAGCUGCAACUGACAUUGAGGCUCGAAAGUGUGGGUAUCAAACAGGAUUAGAUACCCUGGUAGUCCACACGGUAAACGAUGAAUACUCGCUGUUUGCGAUAUACUGCAAGCGGCCAAGCGAAAGCGUUAAGUAUUCCACCUGGGGAGUACGCCGGCAACGGUGAAACUCAAAGGAAUUGACGGGGGCCCGCACAAGCGGAGGAACAUGUGGUUUAAUUCGAUGAUACGCGAGGAACCUUACCCGGGCUUAAAUUGCAGAUGAAUUACGGUGAAAGCCGUAAGCCGCAAGGCAUCUGUGAAGGUGCUGCAUGGUUGUCGUCAGCUCGUGCCGUGAGGUGUCGGCUUAAGUGCCAUAACGAGCGCAACCCUUGUUGUCAGUUACUAACAGGUUCCGCUGAGGACUCUGACAAGACUGCCAUCGUAAGAUGUGAGGAAGGUGGGGAUGACGUCAAAUCAGCACGGCCCUUACGUCCGGGGCUACACACGUGUUACAAUGGGGGGUACAGAGGGCCGCUACCACGCGAGUGGAUGCCAAUCCCAAAAACCUCUCUCAGUUCGGACUGGAGUCUGCAACCCGACUCCACGAAGCUGGAUUCGCUAGUAAUCGCGCAUCAGCCACGGCGCGGUGAAUACGUUCCCGGGCCUUGUACACACCGCCCGUCAAGCCAUGGGAGCCGGGGGUACCUGAAGUGCGUAACCGCGAGGAGCGCCCUAGGGUAAAACUGGA